UACGUAGGGCGCAAGCGUUGUCCGGAAUUAUUGGGCGUAAAGAGCUCGUAGGCGGUCUGUCGCGUCUGUUGUGAAAACUCGAGGCUCAACCUCGGGCUUGCAGUGGAUACGGGCAGACUAGAGUGCGGUAGGGGAGACUGGAAUUCCUGGUGUAGCGGUGGAAUGCGCAGAUAUCAGGAGGAACACCGAUGGCGAAGGCAGGUCUGCUGGGCCACUACUGACGCUGAGAAGCGAAAGCAUGGGGAGCGAACAGG
rnacentral:rRNA from 1 species